ensembl:lncRNA
UUUUUUUUUUUUUUUUUUGAGACAGUCUCGCUCUGUUGCGCAAGCUGGAGUGCAGUGGCACGAUCUCACCUCACUGCAGUCUCUGCCUCAGUACCAAGUAGCUGGGAUCACAGGCACCUGCCGCCACUGGGUUUCACCAUGUUAGCCAGGCUGGUCUUGAAUUCCUGACCUCAGGUAAUGCACCUGCCUUGGCCUCCUGAAGUGUGGGGAUUACAGGCGUAAGCCACUGCAUCCAGCCAAGACCUUGUCUUCAAAACAAAACCUAGAAGAAUCAAACCACUGAGAUCUGGAAAAAUUAGUUAUUUGUUACACAAAGCCUUGCACCAACAACUUCAGCAUCACUUGGAAGCUUGUGAUGCUCAGAAUCUUAGGCUUCAUCCCAGUCACCGAAUCAGGAUCUGCAUUUUUAAAAGAUCCUCAAGUGAUUCAUAGGUGUGAUAAAAUUUAGUUGUAGUUCAUUUAUCGUUUCCCCAACAAACAUGGGUUUUCGUAUAUUUGAAGUCUUAUUUUUGAUGUUACUACAGAUUAAAAGAAUUUUGUAAAUCAGCUUAGUGACAAGAAAAGUAAAACAUUUAAAAAUAGCAGUUAAACUGAAUAAUGUUUUUUUUCCUCCUAGACAACAGUUAGCAGAAGCCAUAUGUACAGUUGUUUCUGAAGGCGAGAUCAUUUUUUAACUAGAGCUGUUCCAUGGUGUAUUUAAGUUUUAUUUGAUACCAUCUCUGAUAAUAUUAGAGCCUUGAGAGCAUGUCUCAUAUGAAUAUUUUUGUUUUGCCUAUAGGUUGAAUUUCAUGAAAUGUUGAGGUGGAAGUCUGUGGAUUAGGACUGAGGGAAUACCUUCUUAGACUUCUUUGGUUCUUCUGAUUUUUUGACAGGCUUCCCUAAGUUUGUCCUAGGCCUCAUUCUACUUUAGUAGAUACUGGCAAGGUGCCCAUUAGGAGAGAAUAGAAUUUAGUAAAAUGUGAAAGGUCUUUAAAAAGUGUCAUUGGUAAAUAAGAUGAAAAGAUUGGAAAUCAUCGAAACUUUAUUAUUUAAAAGUUAAUGUAAACACUGUGUUCAGCCCAAGCACCUUAAGAGGUAUGUCUUCCAUUCUUACACAUCAACAUACAGAGGUGAAUGUUGUUAUAUGGCACAGCUUUUGUGUAGUACAUGUUUCAGUCACAGUAUUAAAGUUUCUAUUAAAAUAUUUCUAAAAAUAUGGGAAAUGUGAUAUUUUAAAUUAAUGGGCCUGAAAAAAAUAGCUUACAGUUAAAUGUUUUUAUCAGAUUAUGAGAGUUCCAAGUUUCUAGAUUAUUUGGAAUAGUUUACAAAAUAGUUUAAACAGAUUUUCAACUCGUUUCAAAACUCAAAUGUAGACGCCUGAAGGGUGAGAGAGAAAGAGAGUAUGUUACCACAUGUUUAUCAUUGGAAUGUAGAAACAAAUUCAUACUCAAUUCAGCAAAUACUUAUUGAAGAACAUAUUUCAGAUGCCUUGAUUGAUGAAAGUUGGUGACAGUAGGUAAUUGAGAAAGAUAUUAUGGUAUUGACAGAGCACAGUCCCUGCCUUUAAGGAGUUUACGUUUUAAAAGGGGAGAGACAGCCAGUAAACUCUAUUUCAAUAUAAUGUGUGAAU